GCACGAGACCUGGUCCGGAUUCUGAUAUAUAAAUAAUGAAAUUAUGGCAGCGACACCGUAUGGCUCUAUUUUUAGAUCUAAAUCUAAUGUGGAAAUCACGACACUGUACAAGUAAUUAUUACUCAUGUUUAUAAAGGUUUUUUUCAAGGUUAUUUGCAAUGUUUCAAAGCGGUCUCACGAAUGUAUUCAGUACAGACCACCGCCACUACUCAAUCUGCAAUAACUAUAGGGAAAUUACUGUGGUAGCUGCGGUCUCACACCGCAGAGGAGAGACAGCACCUGCAGGUCUCACACAGCAGAGGAGAGGCGAGAUGCGGUCCCUGCAGGUCUCACACAAACGUCUCCAUAAGAAGAAUGAAAACAUGGCGUUGGACUCACCUGCAGCAGUUUCUUUCAGUACGGGAAUAAACCUUCACCCGUUCCUGAGGAAAACGUUGCGGAUAGCAUCUUACCGUUAAAGAUAUCCGGAAACGAGUGCACAAGUCCAAAUAAGUAAAAAAUCAAAAACGUUUAUCGAAUAAAACUCCUACAAACUCCACCGCCGCCUUGCGUGAUCACAAGCGCACCUGAGACCCUGCAGCCCAAUUGGCUGCCACCGCGGCCCCGGAACUGCCUAUCAACCAAUCGGAGUCCCGAUCCCGAUAGGUCCCUCCCCUUUUACCCGUGUCUCCCAGGUUCAAACUCACAGAACUUUAUUGACAAGAGCGGCGUGGAACAGCGACAGAGACACUCAUAGAUAUACUGUACCAUCUGGAACAACAGAUAUAAAGGUUUAAAAAUAAAACAUUUUAAAAAUAAAAAAAUGGGUCAAAAGUGGUAUAAUCAGGAUUAAACAAUUAAUCAAUGUUGAUGGUGAAAUAUACAAUUACACCGGCUUUGUGAACAGAUAAUAUUUCACUGCAAUCGAUGCGAGCCGUAGGGACGUAUUGACUCUCUUAAGGAAUUGUAUCAGUAGUCCCUUCGAAACUACAGAUGAAUGUAAAGUUUGUAUCAGACUCCAAGGAAAGGAUAUUUUGAGUUAUGGCUGUAAUAAAUAAA
rnacentral:lncRNA from 1 species